GCCGAAGGUGGGGCUGAUGACUGGAGUGAAGUCGUAACAAGGUAGCCGUACCGGAAGGUGCGGCUGGAUCACCUCCUAA
rnacentral:rRNA from 1 species